UGAUAAUGGACUAGUGAUAAGAGUAUCAGGUUUAGAUACAGUGCAAUAUACAGAGAGCAUGAUCACUUUUCACAGUGAGUCACUACUUUGAAGACAUGCAACAACCUUAUCCCAUUUCAUUUUGACUGUUAUCUGCAUCAGGCACUCUAUCCAACGCAGCAGUUACUACUAUCCAACCACUAUCAAAUACAGCCAGUGCAUCCCAACCAGCCAACACAGCCACUUCAUCCAGUGCAACCACACCAUCCUGUUUGACCCGUCGAUGUCUGGCCAGCAUGCUGAUUGCGAAAGAAGCUCGGAGUCCGCCACAGUCUCCACGGUGCAUCUCAAUUAUCCGUGUGCCGUCAAUCGUGUACGAAACUCUGUCUGUCGUAAGUCCC
ensembl:lncRNA